rnacentral:rRNA from 1 species
AUUGAACGCUGGCGGCAUGCUUUACACAUGCAAGUCGGACGAGUGGCGAACGGGUGAGUAACAUAUCGGAACGUACCGAGUAAUUGGGGAUAACUAAUCGAAGGAUUUGCUAAUACCGCAUCGUAUUCCAUCGGCCGAUCUCGGAUUAGCUGGUUGGUGGGGUAAAGGCCUACCAAGGCGACGAUCAGUAGCGGGUCUGAGAGGAUGAUCAGCCACACUGGGACUGAGACACGGCCCAGACUCCUACGGGAGGCAGCAGUGGGGAAUUUUGGACAAUGGGCGAAAGCCUGAUCCAGCCAUGCCGCGUGUCUGAAGAAGGCCUUCGGUUUGUAAAGGACUUUUGUCAGGGAAGCGGUACCUGAAGAAUAAGCACCGGCUAACUACGUGCCAGCAGCCGCGGUAAUUC